AUCAACCGUAUUUCCAUGUGGGUUGUACACUGAACCCUCAGAAAUUCUUAAAAACCCUGGCAUACAUUACAGACACUAAAGUACCUUUCUGCUGGGGUUUCAAAACUACUAAAAGGGAUAGCUCUUCUGUUAUGAGAGAGAUCUGUUGGACCUCACUGUGUCUAAGUCUGUCUUCUUGUCAUAAAACUAGCAGGUUGUGCCAGUGUGCGUGCCAAUGCCAACAUUUUUCUUUCACUGCUGUAUGUAUGCCAGAUCCCUGCCUAUCUUUUAACCAGAAGUGGAUGAAUUUCAGUGAAGUUAUAAAACUGAAUGGUCAUCUGUGGACAAGGGUCUUAGUACAGUUCCAGAGGGGCAACUCUUACUACUAGACUCUUCAUGUUACAGACUGGAUCAUGUGGGACAUCACUGAUGCUGCAUUAUUUUAUCAUUUGUGGCUCGGUCUGAGGUUUCAGGCAGGCUACUCUUUGACUUUAGGACUGAAUUAUGCCCCAGUUUCCGAUGUAUCUACCUUCCCUGGCUUUGGUGCUUGGAGAGGAGUAAAUUCUUGCAAACAAUUAGCUAAUGCUGCCAGUGAAAAUGCUAAUGUAGUGGCUGAAGUCAGGGCUUUGACUCCCCUCAGUCCAUUUGCUCACAUUUGAGCAUUCAGAGAGCAGGGGUGGUGCUCCUGAUUCAGGUCCAAGAUCAAGGUGGACCCAUCCAAGUGGGAUCUUUGACCGUUCUCACCGAAGUAACAUAAGGAAACUGUUUAACUUCCUCUUAAUUUUAUACCAAAAAAGAACAUUCCUUUUCCUUUCCCUUCCCCCCCCCCCAAAAAAAGAAGAGCCCUUCUGGCAUGCUGUCUUUGAAUAUGUUUCCCUGUUUGGGUUUCUCCCACAGGAUGGAAAUGGGGGGUUAACCAAACUGAUAUUCGUAUAGGAAAUGAUGUGAGAAGCUGUAAGACAAAUCAUAGUUGGUAUGGAAAAUGUGAUGUAACCAGAACACAGUUUUUUCAGGGGCCAGUUCAGAAUUGCAGAAUAAACUCUCACAAGAACUAAGAACUAUUAAAACCUCCUCACCUUCUGCUCUAAAUCCAAGGUGUAUCUCUUUGACUUUGCCUCCUUUAAUGUAAAUUUAUAACACUCUGUCUGUGUACACAUGAAUGCACAUAUAUAAAUCCAAAACAAACCAAUCCACUGAAUACACUUACAUCCCUGGGGAGAGGGUGAGAGAACAAACACAUCUAGAUGUUAGUCAUAUUGCUGCACAGGAAGGCUCUCAGAUAUUAUGGUGAUGAGGCUGGUGAGAAUAUAUUUAGAAUAGAAUGGCGUAAAUCAAGUAACAAGUGCUGAAAAAAGGUGUUUCAGUUUUACGUAUCAUGGAAAUCCAGUAUCCGCAUUCAGUGUUGAAUAAGAAAAAUAGAAGCAUUUUCUUCAAAACUACUACAUUUGUAUAUCUGUAUUUGUUGCAUGUAAUAUUUCAUCAACAUGUUUCUACACACAUGCUUUGCUUCAAGGCUGGUUUUGAUUUCUUUACUUUGGUUGCUAUCUGCAAUUUGCAACUUAGAUCAUAUGAUAAUCUUAUUCAGCCCUGUUUUAAUGCCUGAAGCUUUUAAACAGCAAGAAAUGAAUGAUUGGUGGAAAAGCGAUAAAGAGUGGGUAACAUUAAUUUUGUUUGAAGAUUUAGCAAAAUUUGUGAUCCCUUUA